GGGGAGAUACUCAAGUUUGGUUAACGAGGACAGACUGUAAAUCUGUUGGCUCAGCCUUCGCAGGUUCGAAUCCUGCUCUCCCCA
rnacentral:tRNA from 2 species